rnacentral:rRNA from 1 species
AACGAACGCUGGCGGCAGGCUUAACACAUGCAAGUCGAGCGCGUAGCAAUACGAGCGGCAGACGGGUGAGUAACGCGUGGGAAUCUACCCGUCACUACGGAACAACUCCGGGAAACUGGAGCUAAUACCGUAUACGUCCUUCGGGAGAAAGAUUUAUCGGUGAUGGAUGAGCCCGCGUUGGAUUAGCUAGUUGGUGGGGUAAUGGCCUACCAAGGCGACGAUCCAUAGCUGGUCUGAGAGGAUGAUCAGCCACAUUGGGACUGAGACACGGCCCAAACUCCUACGGGAGGCAGCAGUGGGGAAUAUUGGACAAUGGGCGCAAGCCUGAUCCAGCCAUGCCGCGUGAGUGAUGAAGGCCCUAGGGUUGUAAAGCUCUUUCACCGGUGAAGAUAAUGACGGUAACCGGAGAAGAAGCCCCGGCUAGCUUCGUGCCAGCCGCCGCGGUAAAAC